GCAGCACGCUUUGGGAACCUCAUCCGGCUUCAGAAGGUGAACCUGCCAUUGAAAACGGGUUGGGAGGAGGACAUGCUGCCUGAGGAGAGGGAGGUUCCUCUGGUAAACCUCUACCUUACCACCAAGAGAGUGGAGGACAUCGCCCUGAGGCUCGUCUC